ACUUAUAGUGUAUUCGGCUUCGUCUUGUCGUGUUUUAGCUAAUCAGCUUUUCCAUUUUAGUCAACACACCAAAUGUAACUAUAUAAUUACCUCCUGUUUUCACACGAUUAUGUCAAUGAAAAGAAAGGUCGGCAAGGGAAUGUUUACUACCAGAUAUUGAAAAAAAAACAAACAGAGAAUAAUGGCUUGGCAAUGGAUACUGUUUACCGUAUUAGUUGCGCAGAGUUGGAUCGGGGCUCGAUCCUUUAUCUUUGUGACCAAUAUUGACUGUACACACGUGUGUCAUCAUAAACAUCAGUAUGAUAACAAUACAAUUGCCCUUUGCGCAUGCCCACAUGGAGGACACCACCAGAGCCACGAAACUACAGUGAAACCAACACUGUCAAUGUGUGAUUAUCUUUGCUCUAUACAGAUGGGAGGCUCCGCUUGUGAUUGCUCCGUGUCUCUAGUACCUGGCCGGAAAUAAGUCUCUUCGAAGUUUAAUUUCUUGUUACUACUGUUACUUAAGAAAACAUUUUAAAACAAGAAAAAUGUUCUUAUGUUG